GCUUUCAGCAAUUUCUAUUUAGCAUGCAUGCAUUCUGAAACAUAAUAAGUCAGUUUUUCGCGUUUGACAGUUGCUUUUAAUGCUUUGCGUCAUUCGAAAGAAAAGUGUAUUUGUUUAGCGAGUUAUUUUCAAGUUUGUUUAGCGAGUUUUAGUGAGUUUUCUUUUUAGUUCAGCUUAGUGAAACUUUUUAGUUUGUUGAGUGCAACAGUGGUUGUUUAGCGUUUAAAGACAAAAUUUUUAAUAUUUUAUGUCACCUACUGCCACCCUGUUUAUAAUUUGCCAGGGAUUAUUUAUUUGACAUAUAAAUCUCAAAAAUGCCAAUAACUCGACGAACCAACUUAAGUCGUAGAACGCGAAAUGCUGCAAGCCAACAACAUAUACGGGCAAGUCAAACCAACAAGCAACGCGAGAUGCGAAAUGAAGUUGAAAGGAAUAGAUGGAAUAGGAAUAACCAAGAAAGUAGAAACGUUCCGUUCAGGUUUAAUCCAAAUCGAGCUGCAUUUAGUUACGAUGCAGCAAUCGAUUAUAGUUCGCAGCAAAUCGUUGCUAUUGGACAAAUGAACGUUGUGUGUCCACAUUGCAAGUCAAUGAACUUUAAAAAUGAAGCAUUUGGAUUGUGUUGUGCAAGUGGUCAAGUCAAAUUGACACCAUUGGUACCGCGUCCAGUGGCCUGCUCCCGUGUUGGUAAACCUUCCACAUUAUUUAUUUUCGCUCCAGGAAAAAAAACUAACAAUGUUGUGUAUCAAAAAGCGUUACAAUAAAUAUUUACUAGCUUUUUGUAAUA